rnacentral:rRNA from 1 species
AAGAAGCUUGCUUCUUUCAACUUAGCGGCGGACGGGUGAGUAACACGUGGGUAACCUGCCUCUAAGACUGGGAUAACAUUCGGAAACGGAUGCUAAUACCGGAUACACGUUUUGAUCGCAUGAUCGAAAUGGGAAAGACGGAGUAAUCUGUCACUUAAAGAUGGACCUGCGGCGCAUUAGCUAGUUGGUGAGGUAAUGGCUCACCAAGGCGACGAUGCGUAGCCGACCUGAGAGGGUGAUCGGCCACACUGGGACUGAGACACGGCCCAGACUCCUACGGGAGGCAGCAGUAGGGAAUCUUCCGCAAUGGACGAAAGUCUGACGGAGCAACGCCGCGUGAGUGAUGAAGGUUUUCGGAUCGUAAAGCUCUGUUGCCAGGGAAGAACGCUAUGGAGAGUAACUGCUCCAUAGGUGACGGUACCUGAGAAGAAAGCCCCGGCUAACUACGUGCCAGCAGCCGCGGUAAUACGUAGGGGGCAAGCGUUGUCCGGAAUUAUUGGGCGUAAAGCGCGCGCAGGCGGUCGAUUAAGUUUGGUGUUUAAGGCUGAGGCUCAACCUCAGUUCGCACUGAAAACUGGUUGACUUGAGUACAGAAGAGGAAAGUGGCAUUCCACGUGUAGCGGUGAAAUGCGUA